rnacentral:piRNA from 3 species
CUCAGUCGGUAGAGCAUCAGACUUUUA